GGUUGAACACUCAUUCUGACGGCAGCCAUUCACUGUAGAGGAUCCAUUGAUGAGCAAGUGACGUAAUGCUAAAUUUCUCCAAAUCUGUAUCAUCUUGGAUGGCUUAAGGGUGAUGCAAUCAGCAAAUGGAAGUCCUUGCAUUGCCCAACCCCUUUCCUAACAGUGCUGAGGGGAGGAAGGUCAGAGAGCAUGGGGAGAGAGGGAUGAGUCAAGUGCAAGAGGAAGGAGACAAGGGCAAAUGUGAAAAUGACACCUGAAAAUGCCAGACGACUAAGGACGGUAACUCUUGUGACAGAUGACAGGACAGUGGAAAGUGAGAGGAAAUUGUUGGGUGGAGAGGGAUCGGCAAAGGGACACCCUGGGACAAGAUUCGAACCUGGGUCAGCCAGAGGUGCAGUUGCGCUAUAUGUCAGUGUGCUAACAACUUGGCUAUAGGGAAGAAAGACUGAAAUCUUGUUUUAUGUACAGCUUGCUUUUUUUUUUUUUACAGUGUAAGAAAAAAAAUCAGUGUAGUUCAGACAAGCAAAUGAAACAAAGCAAAACAAAACAAA